rnacentral:rRNA from 1 species
UACAUGGGGUGCAAACGUUGCCCGGAAUUAUUGGGCGUAAAGCGCGCGUAGGCGGUUAUUCAAGUCGGAUGUGAAAGCCCUCGGCUUAACUGAGGAAGUGCACCCGAAACUGAGUAGCUAGAGUACCAAAGAGGGUCGCGGAAUUCCCGGUGUAGAGGUGAAAUUCGUAGAUAUCGGGAGGAACACCGGUGGCGAAGGCGGCGACCUGGGUGGAUACUGACGCUGAGGCGCGAAAGCGUGGGGAGCAAACGGG